UAUUAGUCAGCAUCUGAGAUAACAAAUCGGG
rnacentral:piRNA from 1 species